rnacentral:rRNA from 1 species
AGUAACACGUAGGAACCUGCCGCGUCGAGGGGGAUAACAGUCGGAAACGGCUGCUAAUACCGCAUGUGGUCUUCCCUUCUGGGAAGAAGAAAGCAGCAAUGCGCGACGUGAGGGGCCUGCGGCCGAUUAGCUAGUUGGUGUGGUAACGGCAUACCAAGGCGACGAUCGGUAGCUGGUCUGAGAGGAUGGUCAGCCACACUGGGACUGAGACACGGCCCAG